rnacentral:rRNA from 1 species
UACGGGGGGGGCAAGCGUUGUUCGGAAUUACUGGGCGUAAAGCGCACGCAGGUGGCUGAGUCAGUCGAUUGUGAAAGCCCUGGGCUUAACCUAGGAAUUGCAGUCGAUACUACUCAGCUAGAGUAUGGGAGAGGGCAGUGGAAUUCCCGGUGUAGCGGUGAAAUGCGUAGAUAUCGGGAGGAACAUCAGUGGCGAAGGCGGCUGCCUGGCCCAAUACUGACACUCAGGUGCGACAGCGUGGGGAGCAAACAGG